rnacentral:rRNA from 1 species
GAUGAACGCUGGCGGCGUGCCUAAUACAUGCAAGUCGAGCGAACGGACGAGAAGCUUGCUGCUCGGACGUUAGCGGCGGACGGGUGAGUAACACGUGGAUAACCUACCUAUCAGACUGGGAUAACUUCGGGAAACCGGCGCUAAUACCGGAUGAUAUUUUGAACCGCAUGGUUCAAUAGUGAAAGACGGUCUUGCUGUCACUUAUAGAUGGAUCCGCGCUGCAUUAGCUAGUUGGUAAGGUAACGGCUUACCAAGGCAACGAUGCAUAGCCGACCUGAGAGGGUGAUCGGCCACACUGGAACUGAGACACGGUCCAGACUCCUACGGGAGGCAGCAGUAGGGAAUCGUCCGCAAUGGGCGAAAGCCUGACGGAGCAACGCCGCGUGAGUGAUGAAGGUCUUCGGAUCGUAAAACUCUGUUAUUAGGGAAGAACAGAUGUGUAAGUAGCUGUGCACAUCUUGACGGUACCGAAUCAGAAAGCAACGGCUAACUACGUG